UCGGCACCUAGCCCAGCGCACUGAAUGACAGAAUGAGGGCUCUGUCACCCCUGUGUUCAUUCAGAAGGGGCUGAGGAGGCAGGACCACCAAGCAGCGCUCCCUGGACCUCCCACAUGGAGCUCUCCGCGGGGACAGGAGGUGGUCAUCUUCCACGGGCGUGUCCACUCCUGACGCGGCCCUGGAUUCUCCAGGCAAGAAUACUGAAGUGGGUUGCCAUUUCCUUCUCCAGAGGAUCUUCCCAUCUUAGGAAUUGAACCCGCGUCUCCUGCGUCUCCUGCAUUGCAGACGGAUUCUUUACUACUGCACCACCUGGGAAGCCCAUCAUAUGAGAUGGAGAGAAGCUGCCUGAGAGCAGGAGUACCUCUUGAUGGCAGCCUCAGCGUUUAGCUGGGAUGUACCAGGGAAGCCAGUGUUCCCCAGGAACUCCAUUUGAGAACCACUGAACUAGAGUUUGGAAGUUAAAAGUAAGUCAAACAGGGAAACUGGAGACAACCGUAAAAGCUUGA